rnacentral:rRNA from 1 species
CCUACGGGAGGCAGCAGUGGGGAAUAUUGCGCAAUGGGCGAAAGCCUGACGCAGCGACGCCGCGUGAGGGAUGAAGGUCUUCGGAUCGUAAACCUCUGUCAGCAGGGAAGAACGGUCACUGUGCUAAUCAGCAGUGAAUUGACGGUACCUGCAAAGGAAGCACCGGCUAACUCCGUGCCAGCAGCCGCGGUAAUACGGAGGGUGCGAGCGUUAAUCGGAAUUACUGGGCGUAAAGCGCUCGUAGGCGGUAUGUCAAGUCAAGGGUGAAAUCCCCGCGCUCAGCGUGGGAACUGCGUUUGAAACUGGCAAACUGGAGUGUGUGAGAGGAUAGUGGAAUUCCAGGUGUAGCAGUGAAAUCCGUAGAUAUCUGGAGGAACAUCAGUGGCGAAGGCGACUAGCUGGAACAUAACUGACGCUGAGGAGCGAAAGCGUGGGUAGCAAACAGGAUUAGAUACCCCAGUAGUC